GUAAUAUAUCGGAACGUGCCCAGUCGUGGGGGAUAACGUAGAGAAAUUUACGCUAAUACCGCAUACGAUCUAAGGAUGAAAGCGGGGGGACUCGCAAGAACCUCGCGCGAUUGGAGCGGCUGAUAUCAGAUUAGGUUGUUGGUGAGGUAAAAGCUCACCAAGCCGACGAUCUGUAGCUGGUUUGAGAGAACGACCAGCCACACUGGGACUGAGACACGGCCCAGACUCCUACGGGAGGCAGCAGUGGGGAAUUUUGGACAAUGGGGCGAAAGCCUGAUCCAGCAAUGCCGCGUGCAGGAAGAAGGCCUUCGGGUUGUAAACUGCUUUUGUACGGAACGAAAAGGCUCUUUCUAAUAAAGAGGGCCCAUGACGGUACCGUAAGAAUAAGCACCGGCUAACUACGUG
rnacentral:rRNA from 1 species